GGGUUUAUUAUGCCCGUUUUCACCAACAACCUCUUACCGUUUCCCUAUCUAAAUGCUACUUUUAGUAAGGAUCCCUCCCAAUUUGACACCUACCUAAAUUCAUUUUCACCACACUUGUACAUGGAUCCCUUAAGUAAGUGACAGAUUACUAGUUCUACAAACGAUAAUGCAAAGUCGAUAUUUUAUCGAUAAAAUGAUUUUUUUGUACUUCUUAAGAAAUAAACGUCUAUCGAGUAUAUAUUACUAAAGCCUGUGAGUUUUUUUUCUUGUGAUGUUAUUUUAAUUUAACUUAAACUACAUUACGCUAUGUUUUAUGCAAUAAAACAGUAAAGAGGUUUUCUAUAGGUGAAUUUUUACCUAUGUCAUUCGCGCGUUUGUCAAUCAAAUUGACUGAUGUGUAUGUGUACAUAGAGUGAGGUUAAUUUUGGGUUUAUUAUUGUUGAAUAGAUAAGUUUAUUUUGGCAGAGAAGAGAAAACGAGGAUAAACCUUUCUUGCAGAAGAAAAAGAUAAGCUAGGAAAUUGCUGACGUCUCAUAGAGACACAAUAUUGAACAAAAAACGGAUGGGACCACGAACGAAGCCAAAAACAAAGCUUGGAUCCAGUCACAAAUAGUUUUAAUGCGACAGGAACCCUUUACAGGUAAAUGUGAAUAAUAUCUGUGUAUAAUAAUAUAGUGUAUUAAGAUAUUGCCGUUCAACUGUGUUCCUUGUUUUACUGUCGGCUUCAUUGUAUUUUUGUUCUCCAUGAGUUGAUGGAUUUAAGUAUGGGGUUACAAUUAUAUAUUUAUUUAGUUUCAGGUGGUGCGAGAAAUUGGAAAGACGUGUAAAAACAUCCUGCGCCCAGCCCACCUCAAAUUGAAUUGGUGCAGGAGGAUGAUGAUACUGUUUGGUACAUCAUAUGAGGACUAAUAUUAAAAUAUUUGUUUACUAUCUUUGUUUUAAUUUACAUAAUUUAUUAUGUUCAAUGUUAGCCUACUUCUUACCUCCAGAGGGUAUCCCCUAUCACCUAGGAGAUAGGCUCCUCCAUAUUCACCAUUUUCGAAUCAUUGGUAUCUACUGCAGUUUUGGUAUUUAAGGCCUAUUCAAACCUGAGCGAUAUUCGCUGCCGCUGUGGGUAGAGGUAGAUACCGCGCCGGUUUCGCUCAGGUAUUUAGUAUCAAGUAUAGUUACCGGCACGGAUAUUGAGCUCUCGGCGGAAGAGUGGGGAUCGCUUUGCGCACUGUACACAAGGCAAUAAACCAAUAAAUGGCUCCUGCGCAGGUGAAGGUCAGGGCUCAAUAUCCGUGCCGAUAACUAUACCGCGACUAGAGCGACCUGAGCGAUAUCCACUGCCGCUGUGGGUAGAAGUACAUACCGCGCGGCAGCAGCGGCAUGCAUCCCGAACAUCAACAGUAAUAUUAACGCAUACCCACUGGGUUUUCUCUGUCGCAGGUGGUAGCGAAUACCGCUUAGGUCUGAACAGUCAUAUUACCGCAUACCCACAGGGUUUUCUCUGCCGUAGACGGUAGCGAAUACCGCUUAGGUCUGAAUAGGCCUAUAGUUGUCCCGGCCACCGCGAAACUACAUCAGUGAUUACCAGAUUUGCAUCUGUUAUGGUCUGUAUAUUUAUGGACAUGCAGGACUUCCUAUUUUUGAAUAAUUCAGCGACAUCACGACCUAGCAAGUGCAUUCAUAGCAAGUGAUAACCUAUAAUCUUAUAAGAAAGUCAUGAUCAUCGUACUUUUUUCUCAGACAUCUGCUCUUUCACGUAAGAUGGGUACGUGGUCUUCUAAUGAUUAUUAUUUUACAUAUCCACAACCGCCACAGCUUCUAAACUUUCUAAAAGUUUACGUUUCAUUUUUUUUUUGCUUUUUAAACAUGGUAUUUUUGGUGUUACAUAACAUAUAAAGGUACAUUUCACUAUCCAUCGCCAGAAACGGUUCAAAAUAUGUUUGUAUUCUGUAAUGAUAAUGAUAGGGGUUGUUUAAGCAGGCAUCAAUCGGGCUCCCAAGUUUAAGUGAAAUUUUUAGGUUAAAAUUGACACCUAGGCUUUGGUGAAAAUGAAAUUCUUAUUAAGUGUUUCGUAAAUGCUCCCUAAAUUUAGGUUUUCGUUGGUGAAAACGGGCAUUAUUCUUGAAUAGAUAAGUUUAUUGUGGCAGAGAAGAGAAAACGAGGAUAAACCUUUCUUACAGAAGAAAAAGACAAGCUAGUGAAAUUGCUGACGUCUCAUAGAGACACAAUAUUAAACAAAAAACGGAUGGGACCACGAACGAAGCCAAAAACAAAGCUUGGAUCCAGUCACAAAUAGUUUUAAUGCGACAGGAACCCUUUACAGUUUCAGGUGGUGCGAGAAAUUGGAAAGACGUGUAAAAACAUGCUGCGCCCAGCCCACCUCAAAUUGAAUUGGUGCAGGAGGAUGAUGAUAAUGUUUGGUACAUCAUAUGAGGACUAAUAUUAAAAUAUUUGUUUAC
rnacentral:lncRNA from 1 species